ACUGUGACCCAGGGUUACUUGUGAAGAGGUGGAGCAUGCCCAUUGUUGUGUCAGUCCUCUUCCCUUCCCUGGUACAGAAGUGAUCCUAUCAAUGAUUUCUAAUCACACAGCCACAACAAACAGAGGCUAUAUCUGGUGCACAGGCAUCUUUCUUUCUGCCAGCCACUCAAAGCAGAAGAGGCAAGUUUCCAUUGGAAUGUCACCAAAGUUUGAGCAAUAUAGUUUACAAGGCCACAGGUGGAUAUUAUUGACUUGAGCCACUUGUAUGCCUCAAAUGUGUCUUUUUUACUUUGAAAUCUGAUAUAUCAUAUGUAGGAAGAGGAACAAUUUAUGCAUUUUUGGUACCAGGUAAUAGCUGAAAGUAUUAAUUAAAUGGAAGUGAGAACUGCAGCAACUUCCCCAAGAGGUGUCUUCUAGUUGAAACAUGAAUGCAUAAGGAAGAAUGGAACUUCUUUUUCA